GUGAUCCACCUGCUUUGGCCUCCCAAAGUGCUGGGAUUACAGAUGUGAGUCCCUGCGCCCAGCUAGAGUCUACCUUUCUUUGAAUUCACUGCAGUGCAAAGACUGGGACAUGUGGAACUCCAGAUAUCCAGUAACUGACUGAUCAGCUGGUGGUGGGCUCUGCUGGCUGCCAUGAUGGACCACGAGCAAAAAGGGAAAAUUGGUUGUCAGUGAGAGAAGCAGAGAUAAGAAAGUCCACAGGGCUGAUAAGAAAGACCAUGGGCUGCUGGGCGCGGUGGCUGACACCUGUAAUCCCAGCACUUUG
rnacentral:lncRNA from 1 species